rnacentral:rRNA from 1 species
AUGAAGAUCAAUGUAGACGGGGCUAUUUCUCGCCACGGAGGAACUGGUGCGUCUGCUGCUGUAUGUCGGGACAGAGAGGGCAACUAUAUGGGAUCUUCAGCGGUGGUUUUUGACGGCCUAGUCGACGCCCCAAGCUUGGAGGCUCAAGCGUGCAAUGAGGCGCUUGCCUUGGCUCAAGAUCUUCUGUUGACACAUGUGAUAAUAGCCUCUGAUUGCAUGCAGGUUGUUUCGGAUAUCAAGGGGACUGCGUUUUCUACCUCCUAUACUUUUGUAAUUCAGGAGAUUAAAGCUAGAACUACAGAUUUUGUAGAUGUUAAGUUUCAUUUUGAAAGUAGAGAGGCAAACUUUGAGGCUCAUGCCUUGGCAAAGGCAGCCUCGUCUCUCCCUACUGGACGCCAUUUGUGGCUAGGGAGCCCGCCAGACAUUACUUGUAUUCCAUCGGCUUUGGUUGAUCAAUAA